UACGAAGGGGGCUAGCGUUGCUCGGAAUUACUGGGCGUAAAGAGCUCGUAGGCGGCUUAGCAAGUCGGGUGUGAAAACUCCAGGCUCAACCUGGAGACGCCACUCGAGACUGCUAUGGCUAGAGUCCGGUAGGGGACCACGGAAUUCCUGGUGUAGCGGUGAAAUGCGCAGAUAUCAGGAGGAACACCGGUGGCGAAGGCGGUGGUCUGGGCCGGCACUGACGCUGAGGAGCGAAAGCGUGGGGAGCAAACAGG
rnacentral:rRNA from 1 species